rnacentral:misc_RNA from 1 species
GAUGAAGAACGUAGUGAAAUGCGAUAAGUAAUGUGAAUUGCAGAAUUCAGUGAAUCAUCGAGUCUUUGAACGCACAUUGCGCCCCCUGGUAUUCCGGGGGGCAUGCCUGUCCGAGCGUCAUUACAACCCUCAAGCUCAGCUUGGUGUUGGGCCCCGCCGCCCCGGCGGGCCCUAAAGUCAGUGGCGGUGCCGUCCGGCUCCGAGCGUAGUAAUUCUUCUCGCUCUGGAGGUCCGGUCGUGUGCUCGCCAGCAACCCCCAAUUUUUUUCAGGUUGACCUCGGAUCAGGUAGGGAUACCCGCUGAACUUAAGCAUAUCAAUAAGCGGAGGA